GGACAUACUUUGAGAGAAGGAUAGAUAAGGAUAGUGGUGACAGUGGCGUCAUGCGGGGGGUGCGGCCCGCACCCGGGUGUUACCCUUCUAUAGGGUGACACCAAAACGAGCCGCACACUCACAUGCACCCCCAUCCCCUGACAUGAAAAUGCCUGGUCCACGGCUGCGUCCACACCCCCUCCUCCCAGGCCCCGCCUCCUAAAGCCCGACACUCUCACCUGUCAGUGAGAUCAGCAGGCAGCAGCCACAGACCCGUGCAGGCAGUGCACUGGCCAGCCCUCCCCUCUCCUCCAGCGUCCACUCUCUCCUCACUCCGGGUCCUGACUGAGCCUGACACACACAAGCUCCGCCCCCAGACUGUAACUACACGAGCAUGUAGUUGCUGCUGAUGUUGCUGCAUGAUGUCAGGAAGGCCAGAUAAGAGGAGAUUACAGUAGUCCAAUCUGGAGAUGACCAGUGAGUGGAUGAGGGUUUUAGUAGCAUCCAGGAUGAGAACAGUUCCGAUCAUAAAUAUAUUUUUGAGAUGGAAACGACUGAACUGCAAGAGGUCAAGACAAACGUGAACCCAUCUGUACAGAAGAAUCUUGUAAAGAUGUGCAAUUGCAGCCCACACACUGCAGGAAAACAGUAUAAUGGAAAAGAACAUUAAUGUACCUGUAGUCCUACUAUGUACACCAAAGUUUUGUUUGUGAUUGGAAACC